GAUUAAGCUAAAAAGAUGGUUACUGAAAAUUUUUAAAUAUUGCAUUUAUUUAUUGGAAUUUUCAAUUGCAUCAUUUGUUGUAUUUCAUGGCUGCAUAUUUGUCCACCUGUUGCUUGCUUUUGUUGGUUAUUUUUCUCUUCAGUUUUGUCUGUAUGUGGAAGGUUCUUGAAUGAUGCAUGCAUUUGAUUUUAUUGUGACAGAGCAAGCCCAGGGCACGUUUUCUGAAUCAUUAUUUUUGCUGCUGCUUCAUUAUUCUUCUCCGCACUGUUCUAUUUGAUUUCAUGCUACUAAGUUAUGAACGAGAUGAGUGAUCUAUGUAGAGCAACCAUCUGUUCAUUCAAUUUAACAAUACCAAUACAUUUUUAUGGGCUUACCCAUUGAUGCCUUUUGUUUUAA
rnacentral:misc_RNA from 1 species